rnacentral:lncRNA from 1 species
AUCAAGCCUUAGUUUUCUUUCUGGAUUUAAGAGGUCCUGGAGUCUUAAUGAUAUUCAUCUACUAUCACUUUCGGCUUAAACAGCUAAUGACAGUGCAUGUUAUGUUUGAUCAGUUCUUCUCUCCCGGAGAACGUGAAAACAGAGCAAGACGCUGACACUACGAAACGUCAGGAGAACCCGGACUCUGCUGAGGUUUUAUAUCACAUUGGAAGUGGAUUCCUCUGUGCCUCCUGUUUCCCCUUUGACAUUGAUAUGAUGAAGAGAUCUAAAAGAUUACCUGUGUCCUCCUUCUGGAUUUGGAUGAUCAAUUCUUCAUGGGCAAGCUUUCUUAGAUGAAGAAGCCAGACAUGGAAGACACCAUUGGAAGUAUUUGAUACACACAUGCCUUUCUUUGAGACCAGUUAACAGGUUUGUUGAGUUGUUUCUUUAUUAAUUUAUUUUUCAAUGCCAGUUUAUAGGGUACUUAAAU